CCUACGGGGGGCUGCAGUGAGGAAUAUUGGUCAAUGGGCGAGAGCCUGAACCAGCAAAGUCGCGUGAAGGAUGAAGGAUCUAUGGUUUGUAAGCUUCUUUUAUAUGGGAGUAAAGUGCGGAACGUGUUCCUUUUUGUAUGUACCAUAUGAAUAAGCAUCGGCUAACUCCGUGCCAGCAGCCGCGGUAAUACGGAGGAUGCGAGCGUUAUCCGGAUUUAUUGGGUUUAAAGGGUGCGUAGGUGGUUAAUUAAGUCAGCGGUGAAAGUUUGUGGCUCAACCAUAAAAUUGCCGUUGAAACUGGGUGACUUGAGUAUAGUUGAGGUAGGCGGAAUGCGUGGUGUAGCGGUGAAAUGCAUAGAUAUCACGCAGAACUCCGAUUGCGAAGGCAGCUUACUAAACUAUAACUGACACUGAAGCUCGAAAGCGUGGGGAUCAAACAGGAUUAGAUACCCCAGUAGUC
rnacentral:rRNA from 1 species